UCCAGAGUGGUGUAAUGGUAACAUCCCUACUUAGGUGACGCAUGGUAGAAUCUUAGAAGGUGGUAAACCAUGCCCUUCGGGGGCCAGGGGGGAACCGGGUUCGAUUCCUGGCUCUGGAA